rfam:Triticum aestivum genome assembly, contig: Triticum_aestivum_CS42_TGACv1_scaffold_080602_1DS
CAAAUACUCCCUCCGUUCGAAAAUACUUGUCAUCAAAAUGGAUAAAAGGAGAUGUAUCUAGAUGUGUUUUAGUUCUAGAUAUAACUAUUUUUGUCUAUUUUGAUGACAAGUAUUUUCGGACAGAGGGAGUAGUUU